GAUAAACGCUGACAGAAUGCUUAACACAUGCAAGUCGAUGAAGAAGUUUUAGCUUGCUAAAAUGGAAUCAUGGCGGACGGGUGAGUAACGCGUAAAGAACUUACCCUUUAGACUGGGAUAACACAAGGAAACUUGUGAUAAUACUAGAUAAGUUAGAUUUAGGCAUCUAAAUCAAAUGAAAAGCUAUAUGCGCUAGAGGAGAGCUUUGCGUCCUAUUAGCUAGUUGGUAAGGUAAAGGCUUACCAAGGCGAUGAUAGGUAGCCGGCCUGAGAGGGUGAACGGCCACAAGGGGACUGAGAUACGGCCCUUACUCCUACGGGAGGCAGCAGUGGGGAAUAUUGGACAAUGGAGGAAACUCUGAUCCAGCAAUUCUGUGUGCACGAUGACGGUUUUCGGAUUGUAAAGUGCUUUUAGUUGGGAAGAAACAAAUGACGGUACCAACAGAAGAAGCGACGGCUAAAUACGUGCCAGCAGCCGCGGUAAUACGUAUGUCGCAAGCGUUAUCCGGAAUUAUUGGGCUUAAAGGGCAUCUAGGCGGCAAAGCAAGUUGAAGGUGAAAAGCUGUGGCUCAACCAUAGUCUUGCCUACAAAACUGCUUAGCUAGAGUACUGGAAAGGUGGGUGGAACUACACGAGUAGAGGUGAAAUUCGUAGAUAUGUGUAGGAAUGCCGAUGAUGAAGAUAACUCACUGGACAGAAACUGACGCUGAAGUGCGAAAGCUAGGGGAGCAAACAGG
rnacentral:rRNA from 1 species